CUGCUAAAUAAAGGAAUUCAAUAUUAUUAUGAUUGUUAUUACUAUUAUCAUUAUCAUGAUUGGGUCAAAACCCUUGAAAUUCCUGUUAUGGGUUUUUGGGCUUUUACAUCAUCAACUAACGAAAAUGAGAAAAUACUAAAUGUAGAAUAUCCUUUUUCGAAUUCACAAGUGAGAAAAUCUCACAUAUAUUUCAGAUGUCUACUAGAAAAACCCAAAUCUCCAUUACCACACAAUCAAUGACCAAAGCAUCUGUCAUGCUUCCAAUUCAUUAUCUCCAUUAACAUUUCAAGUACACUAUUACUCAGCUUCCAUUUGACACUAGCUGACAUUGUCAUUUUGUCCCUAUUAAAGAUUCCUAACAUGGGCUCAAGUGCCCUACCAUGGUCCCUUCUAAAUCAUCUGAUUGUUACCACCAUCUGUAAAAAUAUUUUCCAGAUAUAAUCAAGUUAACUGUCAACAGUUUUACACACUCUCCUCUCUCCAGUCUCCAGAACCUCAACCAAAAAUUGCAGAACAAACAGGGGAAUGGGAUCAAUAUGAUCUGGCUCCAAGGAUUAAAAAUUUUGGAUCGAAUAAAUGAAUUGUUGACCAUCAAUUCUUAAACAGUUACGAUUUAAUUAUAUAAUCCAAUGGUUCCACACCUAAAGAUCCACCAUAAAAUUUCAAAAUCGUAAAAAACAGUGGUGAAAUAUGCUCAAGCAAGUUACUAUAGUUACUUGAGUUAUCAUGUAUUUCGCCUUUAACAAGGCUGCAGUGACAUGCUUGCUCUACGGGCAAUUACACAUAAUCAGUUUCAUGACUUCAACCAAAAUUUCAGAUUUUGACUUGUGUCCGGUACACCAUUUUAAAUUCAUUAUUAUAUAGUGCUAGUUCAAAGCUAUUUCCAGAUCCCCUAUGUCUCCCAACUAUUAAUUCAAAGCAAACUACGGAAACUAAGUUCUAACUAUAUCAUGGAAUUGGAGAAAAAGAAACGCGAACUUCAAACUCAAUUCAACUAUGAGCUCAGUCAAGCUCCUAAUUUUCGUUUUUAAGCAGCAAAAACAUGAACAAAAUACUGAUCCGGCAAUUUUCUCAGUAACCAAACGGAAAAUCAACAAAUCCUCUCUCAUCAUUUUGAAAGGCAUACACAAAGAAGCGGGUGAUCGAUGCUAUUGAUUAAAAACAAUCCAAUCAAUCACUACGAAAAAAUCAGAUAAUACUCAAAGAUUCGAACAAAUGAUUGACUGCAAGUCUGCUUGUUAAUGGAGUUAUGCUUGUACCUGAACCAUAUUAUAGGACAGCGUUUCUGUGAGGAUUGAAGCUUAAAAUCGUCCGUUGUUGACGCUCCGUCUCUGAACUGAGUUUAUAGGGUGUUCGGCUUGGCUAGCUUGUAAAUAGGAGCUCAUCCCUAACAGCGUUCUGAAUUUAAUUAAUUGGUGCCCAACACUUUUUUUUUAUUUUUUAUUUUUUU
rnacentral:lncRNA from 1 species